rnacentral:rRNA from 1 species
AUUGAACGCUGGCGGCAGGCCUAACACAUGCAAGUCGAGCGGUAGAGAGAAGCUUGCUUCUCUUGAGAGCGGCGGACGGGUGAGUAAUGCCUAGGAAUCUGCCUAGUGGUGGGGGAUAACGUUCGGAAACGGACGCUAAUACCGCAUACGUCCUACGGGAGAAAGCGGGGGAUCUUCGGACCUCGCGCCAUUAGAUGAGCCUAGGUCGGAUUAGCUAGUUGGUGAGGUAAUGGCUCACCAAGGCGACGAUCCGUAACUGGUCUGAGAGGAUGAUCAGUCACACUGGAACUGAGACACGGUCCAGACUCCUACGGGAGGCAGCAGUGGGGAAUAUUGGACAAUGGGCGCAAGCCUGAUCCAGCAAUGCCGCGUGUGUGAAGAAGGUCUUCGGAUUGUAAAGCUCUUUUGUCAGGGAAGAAACAGCAGCUCUAACACAGUCUGCGAAUGACGGUACCUGAAGAAUAAGCACCGGCU